rnacentral:rRNA from 1 species
UGGUGUCACGAAAGUUCUUCUGUUUUAAAAAAACACUCAAGGAAAUUGAAUUUGUAGUGAAGAUGCUACAUUAAAAUUGUUAGACGAGAAGUCCCCAUGGAGCUUUACUGAAAGCCUAAAAAAAAUUUUUUAUUUAUUUAUAGGCUAGACAGUUUUGUUGGGGUGAUAGUUUUUUAAAAAGUAACGAAAACGAACUAUGACGCAUGUUUCACUCUGAAAACUUGAAGAGACAUUUGGGGUGUGUUUUAUGAUCUAUUGUUUUGAAUGAAAAAGAUAAUGAAAGCAGAUAAA